AUUCCUCAGAAGGAAAUCUGCCCCAACUGRUGCCUAUCAUGAUUCCACUUGCUGUCCUGCCACUGUUCCUCAUCGCUCUCAUCUGCCUGUACAGGGCACGGAAAAGACACCAAGGUGGUGCCCCAGACAGAGCAACCAGGGUGAUCCACGAGGCCCCCAACCAUGAGGACGAGGAGUUGAAGAUGGAGGAGCUGGAAGAGGCCACCAACCAGAGCUCCUCCUCCAGAGGAUCCACCCAAUGGUGUCAAGUCCAGGUGUAUGAAUCACUUGAUUACAUGGCUUUACCAACCCAAGACAAAGGUUAAGGACCGGCUCAGCCCAGUCUGUGAAUGUAUUUUUCUAUUGCGUUUCAUGUGUCAGUCUUUUCUGUAUGUAUUUUACAGUAUGUAUGUACAGUGUCUUUUUGAUGUGUGUGUUUUUGUAUUUGAUUGCAGUAGGUAAUUACUGCUAUUGUUUCUUCUAUAAACCAUUUUUACUGUG